CCUACGGGUGGCAGCAGUGGGGAAUAUUGGACAAUGGGGGCAACCCUGAUCCAGCCAUGCCGCGUGUGUGAAGAAGGCCCUCGGGUUGUAAAGCACUUUCAGUGAGGAAGAACGCCUGGUGGUUAAUACCCAUCAGGAAAGACAUCACUCACAGAAGAAGCACCGGCUAACUCCGUGCCAGCAGCCGCGGUAAUACGGAGGGUGCGAGCGUUAAUCGGAAUUACAGGGCGUAAAGCGCGCGUAGGUGGCUUGAUAAGCCGGUUGUGAAAGCCCCGGGCUCAACCUGGGAACGGCAUCCGGAACUGUCAAGCUAGAGUGCAGGAGAGGAAGGUAGAAUUCCCGGUGUAGCGGUGAAAUGCGUAGAGAUCGGGAGGAAUACCAGUGGCGAAGGCGGCCUUCUGGACUGACACUGACACUGAGGUGCGAAAGCGUGGGUAGCAAACAGGAUUAGAUACCCUUGUAGUC
rnacentral:rRNA from 1 species